AACGAACGCUGGCGGCGUGGCUAAGACAUGCAAGUCGAACGGACUGCUCAAUUUAUUGGUCAGUUAGUGGCGUAAGGGUUAGGAACGGAUGGGUAACGUACCCUGUGCUUUGGGAUAGCGUCAUCCCGACUUCGGUCGGGAUUUCCGAAAGGGGCGGUAAUACCAAAAAUAUCAUUUGUCUAUAGGCGGAUGAUCAAAGAUUUAUCGGCAUAGGCGCGGCCUGUCUCCUAUCAGCUUGUUGGUGAGGUAACGGCUCACCAAGGCAGCGACGGGUAGCGGGACUGAGAGGUUGGCCCGCAACAUCGGGACUGAGACACUGCCCGGACCUCCACGGAGGGCUGCAGUAACGAAUAUUGUGCAAUGGGCGAAAGCCUGACACAGCGACGCCGCGUGUAGGAGGAAGUCCCUCGGGAUGUAAACUACUGUCAGGGGGAAGAAAGUGCGCUUCGGCGCAUUGAUCUAACCCAAAGGAAGUCACGGCUAACUUCGUGCCAGCAGCCGCGGUAAGACGAAGGUGGCAAGCGUUGUUCGGUAUUACUGGGCUUAAAGCGUGUGUAGGCGGAAAGGUAAGCGUUUCGUGAAAUCCCCCGGCUUAACCGGGGAACUGCGCAACGAACUGCUUUUCUUGAGGCAAGUAGGGGCGCAUGGAACUCUUGGUGGAGCGGUGGAAUGCGUAGAUAUCAAGAGGAACGCCAGUGGAGAAAUCGGUGCGCUGGACUUGUUCUGACGCUGAGACACGAAAGCGUGGGUAGCGAACGGGAUUAGAUACCCCGGUAGUCCACGCCGUAAACGAUGCCUACUAGGUUGUGAAAGUUCUGACACUGGCACAGCCGAAGCAAAAGUGUUAAGUAGGCCGCCUGGGGAGACGGUCGCAAGGCU
rnacentral:rRNA from 1 species